GUUUGAUCUCAAAUCAGGUA
rnacentral:rRNA from 4 species